rnacentral:misc_RNA from 1 species
GUAGGUGAACCUGCGGAAGGAUCAUUACCGAGUUAGGGUGCCUCGUCGCGCCCGACCUCCAACCCUUUGCUUACUUGACCUAUUUUGUUGCUUCGGCAGGCCCGCCGCCCGGAAACGGGUGGCCGCCGGGGGCAUUUCACCGCCCCGGGCCCGCGCCUGUCGAUGGCCCUAUUAAAACUCUUGUCAAAACGUGUCGUCUGAGUUUAUCUAAACAAAUAAAAACCAAAACUUUCAACAACGGAUCUCUUGGUUCUG